rnacentral:lncRNA from 1 species
GGCGGGCGGGCGGCCUGAGCGGCGGGGCGGGGGCGAGCGCGGUUUCUUCUAGAGUUGUUGCCUCACGAGGGGCAAGAUGAGCCGGGCCUGCCUCGCGCACUCUUGGGAGUGGAGGAAGGAAGUGGGGGCUCAGCCGGGCCGGUUUGGAGGCUGGGAGCAGCAGUCAAUAAGGGAGCCGCAGUGGAGUAGGCGGGGAGAAGGCCGCACCCUACUCGGCUGGGGGAGGGGAGUGCCGCAAUACCUUUCUGGGAGUUCUCUGCUGCCUCCUGUCUUCUAAAGACCGCCCCGGGACUGGAAGGAUCCCUUCCCCCUUUCCCCUCGUGAUCUGCAAGUCGAGGCUUUCUGGGAGAUGGGCGGGAGUCUUCUGGGCAGGCUUGAGGGCUAACCUGGUGCGUGGGCGUUGUCCUGCAGGGGAAUUGAACUGGUGUAAAAUUGGAAGGACAGAGCUGUUUCUUAUUAAUGGCUUCCAGAUGGGUAUCUCCUCCUCCAAUAUCACCUGAUGUGUCUUAACAUAUUGUCAGGCUGAUUGUAUUAAAAGGUACACGAAUUGACAUGAAAUUUACUGACUCUUUAAUACUUUAGUACAAUGCAGAAGACUUAAUGGGCUAAUGACAACUUUUUCAUUUCAUUAUUUUCUACGUACACAAUUAUCUCUUAAGUCACAUGGAAUUGAUUACUGCUUGCUCACAUGUUGUCACUGUACAUAUCUGUAGAAGGUGGUUCCUUUUGGAAUGCAGGUUGUUUAGGUCGGAUGUUGUCUCUCCUGGCCUAAGGUCCUGUGAGCCUGUAUUUUCCUAUUUAAGCAGUGCUUUCUCCUGGGCCUCUGGCUUGAUUCAUGUCACUCAGGUUAUUGCUGGUUCAAAUGUGGUUUUGCUGAGCUGCUUCCGAACCGUCUUACUGAGUCCUGUUCUAAUUCCCUAUUAUAUUGCUUGAUUUGUAGCAAUAUACAAGUAAAAUGUAGUGAGCAACAUAAAUACUUUUUAAACUUGGUUUUAGGUUCGAUGUUGUGUGUGUGCUCUAUAAGAUUACUGUCCAGGAGAAGUUACUGCAGUGACGUGGAUAGGCAGUAUUUGUGUUGUUCCAGUACAGUAGCCAAUAAUCAAAUGACUCUUUAAGCACUGACAAUGUUACCUUUUUUUUGUUUGUUUGUUUUUCUGAGACAGCCUUUCUCUGUAUUGCUUUGGAGGUUGUCCUGGCACUAGUUUUUGUACCAGGCUGGCCUCGAACUGACGGAAACCCACCUGCCUCUGGCUCCCAAGUGCUGGGAGUAAAGACAUGUGCCACCAAUGCCCCGCUUGUUACCAAUUUUUAUUUGGAGUGUAACUGUGGACAGGGGAACCAUAGCAGCAAACUUGUGGGGUACAGAAGACUAAAUUGAACUUUAAGCAAUCAAGAAAUAAAGAUUUUUGGUUUUGUGCUUCAUCUAUACUAAGCUGAAAGCUAAACCUACAAACCAUUUCUUAAUAGGAAAGCAAGUACCGAUUAAUGAGGAUUUCAGAAACUUAGAGCCAUAGUUUAGCUGGGCAGUGUUACUGUUUGCCUUUGAUGCCAGAACUCAAGAGGCAGCGGCAGGUGGUUCUGAGUUCGAGGCCAGCUUGGUCUGCAGAGUGAGUUCCAAGACAACCAGAGCUACACAGAAAAACCCUUUCAAAAAACAAAAUUAAGGAAGCUAAGAUUUCAUUAAAUCAUAAUUGAGCCAGUCCCUAGGAACCACCAUGGGAUUUGGCUGUCUCUGCUACUGGUCAACCUGUGUGUGUGUCUGUCUGAAUCAGAGACAGACUUUGGGCUUCCUUACUCUUUCUUUAAAGCCUCCUUUCUACCAUGUUGCUUCUUGUCUGCCAUAUGACUGACUUUCCAUGCUGGUUUAAAUGGCAUGGCUUUUUACCUUCUAAGGGCAGCUGCUGAGAUUUGCAGCCUGGCUUCUGAGGGUGGGGUUGGGAAUUCUUUCAAACUUUAAAAUUGACCUUAAAAAAAAAAAAAAAAAAACUAAAAGAUGGGGAGUGUAUUAUAAGUAGUGUCAUGAGGACUGAGGUGGGACUAUUAUUAAAUGAGCCCCUGUCCUCUAAAAGACUUAAGGCUUUGUUUUCUAUUUAACAUUUCUUUAAGUAUGUGUGAUAUGUUUAGGACAGGGAUCUGGACUUUGGUGUGACUGUUAGUAGACUGUUGCCUUGCUGUUUGAUUCAGAUUUCCUAAUCUCAUGCCCACAUUUAAAUUCUGGGCAGUCAAGGCCAUAUUAAAAUUCUGUCCUUUCAUGUUUAUUUGCUUACUGUAAAUAUAAAAAUGAUAGCUUUAAAGGCUUUCCUGAGACACAGAGUCUCACACAAUAUUUAUCUCUGGCUGGCCUACAACUCAGUAUUUAUAGAUUAGACUAGCCUUAAACUUAAAGAAUUCUGCCUGCUUUUGCCUCCUGAGCGCUGGGGUUAAAAGUAACCAGUGUGUCCCUGGCCUGAGCUGUUUUUUCUUCCCUCUUAAAAAAACAACCAAAAGCUUUCUGUGCCAAUAUGGCUCCUGCUAACAUGGUGAACAUUCCUAAGACCCACCAGACGUUCUGAAAGAUAUGUGGCAAGUACCAGCCCCAUAAAGUGACACAGUACAAGAAGGGCAAGGACUCUUUGUAUGUCCAGAGAAAUCGGUGUUAUGACAGGAAACAGAGUGGCUGUGGUGGGCAGACUUGUAAGUCAAUUUUCUGAAAAAAGGCUAGAACUACAAAGAAGAUUGUGCUCAGGCUUGAGUGUGUUGAGCCCAACUGCAGAUCUAAGAGGAUGCUGGCUAUUAAGAAAUACAAGCAUUUUGAACUAGGAGGUAAUAAGAGAAAGGGCCAAGUGUUCCAGUUCUAAGCUGAUCUUGUUAUGCAGACAAUAAAAGAAAUUCGCCUUAAAAAAAAAUAACCUUGAGUGAAAAGGAAAAGCAAAAUGCAGGUCAGAUUCUUUUAAAGGGAAUAUUAAGGAGGCUUGAAUGGUAAUUAGUAAAGUGUUUGUAUUGUAAGCAGCCCGCAUUAAAAAAACAAAACAAAACAAAAUGGGCAUGUUAGGGCAUGCCUGAGGUAUCCCUAGGACCUACUGGACACAAAAGCUUAGUUACUUGGCAGGCUCUUCACUGGUGAGAUCUCAAAAAACAAGGCAGAAAGCAACUAAGAAACUACAGUCAGAGUUGAAUUUCACACCCUCAUGUUUCCUUCAACUUUUAUCUAAUACUAUGUUUCUCCCAUCAAAUUGCAUUCUUCAAGGACAUGGGGAGUUUUUCAGUGAGUAAGCAGAGUUGGGAACCAAACAAAUGUGGAUUUAUGAUUUGUUAAAUUGAUAAAAGUCCAUGAACUAUAGGACAAAGCUCCUAUUGUGCAGGAAUCCAAUACUUAACUGAGGUGUCUUAAUACUUUUUUUCAUGGAGGAAGCUGAGGCCUCCCUGCCUGUACUAACAAGCACUUCUUUGGGUUUCCCCGAAGUAUCCACUGCAGCUAUCCUGUUCUUGUAUUAGGCAUGCCUUGGGCUGGUGGUUUAGGUAAACUUAGUUCCUUGUCAGGUAGUGCCUUAUGAUUUCAUAUACUUACUUGCUGUAUAUGUUAAACAUUUGUGCUUAAUGUUCAAGUUAGGUGAGGGUUUGUGGGUUUUAUUUUUAAUUUUCCAAUUUUGAGCUAGCCUUUUUUUACACGUCUUAUAUUUGGUGUAACUGUAUAAUUGUGGUUUGAAGUUGAACAUCCCAAGAAAAAGACUAGUUUGACUGGUGAGACCCCUAACUAUACAACACUUUGCUGGUCACAACUCUAGGAGUCAAUCAUUUGACCUUGAAAGUUGAGACCUUGGUUUUGUGUAGUGUAGUAUGGUAUAGUGUGUUCCAGUUUAUAUGUUGAAGGGGGUACUUAUCCAGAAGAUACUCAUGACUCCAUUCUUGAGUGGAUUAGUAAGCAUUAUGUGGUCUUUAGGCUUGAAUUGGAGUUGUGUUUCUCUGAUGUCCUAAACUCAUUUUUCCUACUUUUCAUAGUAAUCACUGGCCCUUUUAUUUUGACCUGAUAUUUUUUCACCCUUUGUUUUCUAG